rnacentral:misc_RNA from 1 species
AUUUCAAACACAAAAAAAAAAAAAGAAUCGGCGGAGUACCUGACUUAAUCAGAAAAAAAAAUGGUUGUGUUCUUCUCGUCUCGUGUGGUGGCUGGCAUCACCAGGAAAGUGACACCCUCGUCCUUGAAGUUGACGAGCUAGCUAGUGUGCUCUCUCGUCUCUCCGUGGAUGAUCUGAUGGAUGUAUCUUUCUACUUUAUUGAAACUAAAAAAAAUUAUCUGCGAGAAGAAAAUAGGCAGGUCGAUCUUCUACUGCCAUUUUGUUAUUUUAUUCUACGUGCGUUAUGUGGGGAGGAGAAAGAUUGUAUUUUGCCUUUAUGUGCACGUACGCGCUUGUUUAUUUUUUGUUGAAUCAAAGAAGGAAAACAAAGGAGAGGAAGGGUGGCUUCAUUUUUUCCGCUAACAUAAGGUCUGCCUGCAUCAGAACCUGACUGAUCAAAACAUCAAGUCAUGGUUACGUGAUGGUGAAAUGACAUGGCACCUAGUUCUGUAGCCCAGCUGCUAGCUUGACAAGGAUGUGGAGAUGGGUAGCAAGGGAAGCUCAACUCAACCACGUACGUACGUACGUGGCUCGUCACGCACCUUUGGUGAACUUUUCAGGGUUU